GAAAUUGUCGUCCUCGGCGGACAACAGGGCUUGGAUGAAAUGUGGCGGAAUCUCGGCGAAUUUGAUCGGCGAGCGGCGCAUCUCGCCGAACUCGGCAAUCAGUUUUCCGUCGCUGCUGAAGACCCGCAGGGGAAUCUGCAGCUCUACGCUGCGCAGGGCGUCGACAGACGGCAGGCUGGGGCUAAGAUACAGAAAUGCCCCGCUGAGCACGAGCAACAGCCCGCAGACCACGGCGAGGAAAGACCACCAGAAAAACUUCAGCAGGCGUAUCAAGGCUUUUGGAUUUCCAGAUAA
rnacentral:antisense_RNA from 1 species